rnacentral:rRNA from 1 species
AAAAAUUAAAAUUAAAAUACUAAAAUAGUAAAUAUAAUAUUAUUUAAACUUAAAUAAUUUGGCGGUAUUUUAGUUCAUUUAGAGGAAUCUGUUUAAUAAUUGAUAUUCCACGAAUAAAUUUACUUAAUUUAUAAUUUUGUAUAUCGUUGUUAUAAAAAUAUUUUUUAAUAAAAUUAAUAUUUUAAAAUUAAUAAUAAAUUUAAAUCAGAUCAAGAUGCAGAUUAUAAUUAAGAAUAUAAUGGAUUACAAUAAAUUUAUUUAAAUGGAUUUUAAUUUGUAAAAAUUAAUUGAAAGUGGAUUUAAAUGUAAUUUUAUUUAAUUUAAUAAAAUGAUUUAAAAUUAAAAUAUGU